rnacentral:rRNA from 1 species
GUUAUUUAAUAUUUUUAUUAUUGAUUAUUUUGAUAUUGAUAGCUAUUAAUAUCUAAGGGGAUGAGCUUUUAGAUAGAUUCUUAUAAGAUAAUUUUGUUUAAAUAAUUUGUAGGAUUAGAAUUUUCCAUCGAUAGGAGGAUGUUAUAAUUUAUUAUUAUAUAAUAUGAUUUAUAUUGACUUUAGGUUGUUUAUUGGAAUGAUGACGAUAAUGAUUUAUGUUAUGAAAUAAUGAUAAGAUUAGUAUAAUUAAUUGUGUUUAUGAAUUUUUAUGUAAGGUUAUAUAAAGGAAUUCGGCAAGUCUAAUUUUCACCUGUUUAAUAAAAACAUGGCCUUUUGAUUAUGAUUUAAGGUCUUACCUGCCCAAUGAUUUUUGAAUGGCCGCAGUAUUUUG